ensembl:snoRNA
AGCGAGGCUAGAGUCACGUCUGGGUACUCACCCGUUGUCCUGGCGUGCUAGAGCACUCGUAGAGGAAUCGAUCUUUGCUUAUUCAUUGGCUGUAGUCUCACGUGGCCCAGCCAAUCACCAGCUCAGAUACAUCG